UUUAAGAAACAGAAAGUCAUGCUUUCCUAAAUUUGGAUAUCCAUCCAUCCAUUUUCAUCCACUUAUUCAUUUGGAUAUAGCCCCAAAAAAUAAACCUGCUCUUGUUAACUUAAAAUCAUUUUCUUUAAAAAAUACUUAGUAUUAGGCAUGUAAUGGUACAUAUUUACUAUUUCAUACUGACAGGAGGACUGCUGCAGGUAACCCACUGACUCAAUCACUAAAUAAACCAUCACACCAUCUGUUGCUCAACACUAUAGCCAAAAUAUCUCGUUCACUGGUGCUACCAUGUUAUUUUUGGAUUAAGUCUGCAUAGUAGAGAUAGGGGAUGAUACGUCUCACACACACAAACAUGAACACAUAAACAUGGUGUUUCUAGCAUCACAUAACUAAUCAGGGCUAAAUGUGUUUUUGAAAGAGAAAUUCUUUUUUCUUGCAGCAGCAAGGUAAGAACUAUAACUGCAAUGGCAAAUCUGCUAAACAAAUCAGCUUAAAAGGUGUUUUACAUUUCUUAACAUUCUAACAGAGCAUAGGGAGCCUAAGUCACGCCCAUCUUCUUCCAGUCCCAGAAAGACCGAAAACAAUCAAUGUUUACGUUUAUGUAUUUAGCAGACACUUUUGUCCAAAGCGACUUACAAGUGAUAAUCGCCAUGUUGCCCUUGAGGCUAACAACAACAAUAACAACAACAAAAACUAAUUUCCAGUCAGUCGUAGGUGGCAGUGAGGCAGCACGAUGAAUCAUGGAGAGGAGGGAGUUGACGGUAGAGAGGGGGGACGGGUGCAGGGAAGGUGCUAGUUUAGAAGAUGCUCUCUGAAGAGCAGGGUCUUCAGGAGUUUCUUGAAAAUUGAAAAGGAAGCUCCUGUUCUGUAGUGCUUGGAAGGUCAUUCCACAUUUGUGGAACAAUGCAUGAGAAGAGUCUGGAUUGUCCUGAGCGUGGUGUAGGCACUGCUAGCCGACGAUUCUGUGAUGACCGGAGCGGCCGGGCCGAGACGUAAGCCUUUGCAAGAGGAUUCAGGUAGAUGGGAGCCGUACCAUCUCAGACUUUGUAGUGUUAGCAAUUUGAAUUUGAUGCGUGCUGCUAGCAAUAGCCAGUGGAGCUCAAUGAACAGAGGGGUGACAUGUGCUCUUUUUGGCUGAUUGAAGACUAGGCGCGCUGCUGCGUUCUGGACCAUUUGAAGAGGUCUCACAGUACAGCCUGGAAGACUAGUUAGAAGGACAUUGCAGUAAUUGAGGCGGGAGAUGACAGUAGAUUGCACCAGGAGCUGGGAGGCAUGUUGUGUUAGGUAUGGUGUGAUAUUUCGUAUGUUAUACAGCGCAAAGCGGCAUGAACAAGCAACAGAGGCACCAUGAUCUUUAAAGGUCAGGUGUUCAUCAAUCACAACACCCAGAUUUUGAACAGCCUUUGAAGGAGCCAGAGAUAGGAAGUCAUUUUGGAUUGAGAUAUUGUGCUGUAUGGAUGGUUUUGCUGGGAUGACAGGUACUGUAGUUCAGUUUUAAAAAGGUUGAGUUGUAGAAGGUGGGAUUUCAUCCAUUUUGAUAUGUCAGAGAAGCAGUUUGAUAUUCGUGCAGAGACAGUGUGGUCAUCCGGUGGAAAUGACAGAUAGACCUGGGUGUCGUCUGCAUAGCAGUGGUAGGAGAAGCCAUGUGAUCAAAUGAUCUCACCCAGUGAGGUGGUGUAUAUUGCAAAGAGAAGAGGUCCUAGUACAGAGCCCUGGGGGGCUCCUGUAGAGGUCAGUAGGGCUAAAAACACUACUUUGUAAUUCCGCUUGUUAAAUGCCAUGGAUGUCUCAUAUGAUAUCCGAGAAAGUGCUUAUUUUCAAACAGGGGGAAAUGUUAUUUGUGUGAAAAUAAGUCCAGGACUAGAAAUGCGCUUCACGAAGGUGACGUCAUCGAACCAGACACGGAGAAAAACAGAGGGAAAAUGGCUGUAAGUUCAACAAAUUUCAAAUCCGUUCAGGAGGAAUAAACCACCAUAAAUCUGGCCAUGUGGUAAGUAGCAGCUAUUCUAGGGCAGAGGAGGUUCUGUGGUGAAACGACAACAACUAAUAUUGGAUUGCAUGCGUGGCAAUGUCUGAUUUGUAGUCAUGCUAAUUACCAACUUUUACAAGCUGAAAAAUGUGAAAGUAUGUGACUGGCGUGGUCGAAACACAUGUAACGUGAGGAAAUAUGGGUUUUUCUGCCACAAAGGUGGUGUUGGACUAAGCUGUGUCAAAGCUGGGUCGCUGAGAACUUUCACCCACAGAUUAAGACCUGAACGCCAGCGAGUCUGGGAGGAAACCAUAACAUCUGCCACCUGCAGCUUCGUGCCAGAAGAUGUUGUUCCCACAGAAGAUGUUGUUCCCAUAAAAGUAGUCAUAACAUAACAAGUCUUAAAACUUUGUUUCUUGAUUUUAAUGUUAAAGUAACCAUUAUCAAUUUGCUCAUUAUAAAUGUGUUUUAAUCAAAUGAACGAUUCUUAUGCUUUGGGUAAUUAUAAUGGAUUAAUGAAGCCAUUCUUAAAUAAUGUUGAGGAUGUUUGUUGCUGACCUUCACACAUACUCAAGCACACAAACAUUCACACACACCCACACACAUCUGCUCACAGUAAACUCCAAAACACAUUUGCUGACGCACACGUUUGCUUUGAGAGGAGAAAGGUUUUUGGUAAGUUUCAGUCUUAUGAUUUCAGUUCGUGCUUGACAACGAAAGAGAGAGGACGUGUGAACAACCGCUAACGGGGGCACGGAGCCCAUUGGCUCAAUCCCCCCCGCUCUCUCACGCUGUUUCUGCCAAGCCAGGCAGAAUAGCUGAAUCGCGACUUCUAACGCAGACUCAUUACCGAGUCUUUUGAUUUCUGAGUGAAUUAACUUAAGAAAGCGCAUCGACAAAACGCUCCACCAUCCACGUGUACCGAGGGCAACUCUGGACAGGUUCCGUUCAACACCUACGUCUCCUGUCAGCCGCCGGUGUUAUCUGGAUGAACCACAACAUCCUCCACGGCCCGGAUCCGAAAGAGGGUCCACAAGAGUUCGGUGAGACAGAGCACGGUUUUUAGCGUUUGAUGCAGUUCUCUGAUAAGACCUAAGUUUAUCCAAACCAUCACUUCACUCAGACACCUGUUUCUUCCUGAAGCAAAAUCAGACUCACACACGCAUUCAUGUCACGACAUUCUCAAUCUUCAUAAAUUCACCAGAAGGUCUAUUUGAGCAAGAACAGCAUAUCAACUGUUAAAGAUUGUCCCACAAAGUUGCCAAUGUUGAUUGUUAUUUCCUGUUUGUCAAUUUUCAAAAUCAUUAGUUUAAUUUGAAGAAUUAAAACUUUUAAUUGUCAAACUGGUUUCCUCAUUGAACUGAAACACAGACACACAGAUAUUAUUGUCAGUUUAUCGAUGAAAACAACCUUUGAGUCUUCUUAACAAUAUAAAAUUUGGUUAUUGAUUUAUUAAAAAUUAAUAUUCCGAAUUAAUACGUAGCAUGGUUCCUCUUUCAUAAAAGAGCAUAAAACCACAACGCUACAUUAAUGGUGAGCCAAGCCAGUUUCUUCUACAUUAAUGGCGAGCGUAUCCAGACUUCUAUAUCUGCGAUAUAUCUGAUUCCAUCAUCAUCUACAAGCUGAUUUUUCGCAAUUUUAGCCUUUUCUCUGUGUUUCACUUUGAUGUCUUAUUUUGAAAAAAAAAAACGGAAAUUAUUCCGCUGAAGUCACUCUUCCGGGAGACGUCCUGGUGGAAACUUGACGGGGGAAGAUCUCCGAUCUCAAAUUGUCCGCAAAUUACAGACAGUACUUUGAUUUAUCCCAUCUUCGCCUUCGGAGCGAACGUGUGAGUUGUGCUUUUGACUAAAUUCUGCCCAUUUUGACGCGCCGCCACGCCUCUAAUCUAUUCAGGUCGGAAAGCUACAUUUCCACUCUGAAACUUGCUAGGUGAGCUACCGUGAGCACCUUAACUUCAAUCCUAAAAUUAAGACUAAAUUCUCCGAAUUCUCGGACACCCUCUCGUCUCAGUGUGUUGACACUGUGGGCGAGCUAUUGUGGAAGAUAUUUCCAUUACAUAGGCGACAGCCGAAUCUAAACGGAAUGCUCGUAGGCACCUACCGUAGCUUAAAUUGCUCGGUAAACGCUGUAAGUCGGGUCAUGGCCGUAGCGCGUUACUGCAUCCAGAUUGCGUACGCUUUAAAGUCCGUUAGCAGAGCGGAGCGAGAUGCCUGCUUGUUAAUCGGGAAAAUUUAAGUCUGGUCGCUACAGACGGAAAGCUAGACCUAGCCGGAGAGCUAAGCUAGCGAGCCACAGUUGGACAAAACAGGAACGCGUCCUAUUAAGUUGUCAAACCAUUUCUGACACAGUAAGUCUGUGUCCUCACAAAACCCGCAUUGGCGGUGAUUCUUGUAAACACUACGGUGUGUAGAAUCUACAUUUUGCUACGUUUGUCCGUCUGAUACCAACACGGCAGCGUAGGGUUUAUUAUUUUUUUUAUUUUUGUUUUGGACCGCUGUACGGGGCGGCUUUCGCAGCCUCCAUCGCUCGGAUCCAUGACUUUUUCUUCCAUCUUGUGAAGUAGUGUGCAUUCAUUUCUCUAUCAACAAUUCCUUGUUUUACCCUGUGUCAUAAAGUUAAGUUACGCUACGGACAGUCCUUGUUUGUGAGAUAAAUUGAGGAAUUUGCCCGGAGUUUUACGUCGACUCAGAAGGUAAAAACGCGAGUUGCUCUGAACUUAAAGAGGGAUGGACGAGACACGACAAAAUCUUUCUUGUACUGUUACACCUGGUGUAAGGUUCUCUGUCGUUCUGCUUCCAGAACAUGCCAAGACGCAGGAGUCUGUUUACCGGCCGAGCCACGCUGGUCCCUCCGCCCGCCCGAACGGGCCCGCAUUAGGCGGGUGCCGCCGGUCGGGCACGGUGGGGACUAGUGGCAGCGGUUCGGUGCCAGCUGCUCGGGGUCGGAGGGGGUCAAAAACCCACCAUCAAUAUCAAGGCUGACCAUCUCUCCAGCAUGGGUGUGAAAUCUUCAGGCUGUGAUCCACCGCUUCAGUCAGAGGUCUGCUUUACUCGUCAGUCCGCCUCAUGCACAAACCGGCUUGUUUAUCGGGGCGUGAUGGAAACGUCAGCCGCCGUGAAACACUUGUGGUCUCCGGACGGAGCAACCUUCCCAUUUGCAGGAACCUCAAAGUCCAACACCUCCAGGUCUUUGGACAUCUGAACACCUACUCUUUCAGCACGAUCCAGACACGGCAUAAGUUUGAGAAACAAAAGGGGGGUGGGGAGCCUCCUCCUGCUUUGCGAGCAUCAUUUUCGCAUUUCCAGUUCACUACUAUUUCUGAUCACAACAAAGUCGCCUCCGUAAAGCUGCAACCCAACUUUGAGCAGGUAAAAUCAGGUUCUGAUCUAACAGUUAUACCAUCAGCUUCACUCGAGUUCCGGACGGAACCCUCAGGUAAAUUCAAACAAGUUUCCCUGUGGGUUCGUAACACCAGAUACAAACGGUUUGAUAACCAAAUCACUUAUGAGCCUGCUCCCACAGAUACGUCCAAACUCGUGUCUCUGUGGGUCCGCAAUACCAGAUUCAAAACUCUAUUCUGACCGACUCUAUUCUGACCGGAUUCUUUUCCACUAACUGGUGGACCGUUACAAAUUCUCUCGUUUGUGGGGUGAAUUUUUAACAAAUGUGAUAUCCUUUGAAUUUUUUUUCAGGUAACCUGCCUCCAGCCAGGACACCUGCUACUAACUCACAUUUUUAGGGAUUACUAACCUGCUGAUUUACAUUUUUAGAAUUGAUUUACAUCUCUAUCUUUUUAUUAGUGCUUUGUGUAGCAUGAUUAUAUUUGAUUACAAAUUUAAUUUUAUUUUGUUACUAUUUCCCUUAAAGGGCCACAAGCCAAUUCGCCCUUCAUUUUCAUGAUUAUUUCUUUUAUAUAUAUGCCUUUACUUAAUGCAGCCUGCUGAGUUUCACAUAUCAGUUAGGAUUUACUUUCUUUUAUUUGUGUUUUCUCUGCAUCACAUUUUUACAUGACAUGUAGAGCAGGGUGCAGAACAUUUCUUCUUUAGAUAAUUCACAAAAGGCAUCCACAUUUUCCCAGAGGUACCCAUAGAUAGGUUUUGAUUGAUUUCUUUGAUUUGCAUCAAAUGCUAUCUAUCGUGUGGGCUGUCUCACUUUGUCUCCUUCUCCGAGCUCGUAUGGACUACAUCCCAUCAGAGGGGUCGUCUUCACCAUCCUUCAACUGGUUUCCUGUCGCUUGGGGCUUCGGUCGUGGUUCGAGAUGGGUCGAGGUCUGCGCUGGACUACGCCUGAGGAAUGCAUCACCUGCCCAGCUCCGUGUGACACACGAGCUGCUUAUCCUUUGAAUACCUUUGCAUUAUUGCUGAUGAAAUUAACUGCUAUUGAAAUAGCUCUGCUUUCAAGUUUUCCUAAGUGGAUUACUUUACAAUGAUUGCAACAGUUUUGGCCUUAAUCAUCUGAUCAGGAUAUACUCCCUUCUACACGAGACCUGUGGAGAUGCUUCAUCGUUCCUGCCUUCAUCUGGGAUGUCUACCUUCACGAGUACAUCACGUUAUUGAGGUUGUGACGUCAGGUGGCCUCUGCUUGACCACCAUGUCGUCACAAAAAGGGGGGAAUGUAACGUGAGGAAAUAUGGGUUUUUCUGCCACAAAGGUGGUGUUGGACUAAGCUGUGUCAAAGCUGGGUCGCUGAGAACUUUCACCCACAGAUUAAGACCUGAACGCCAGCGAGUCUGGGAGGAAACCAUAACAUCUGCCACCUGCAGCUUCGUGCCAGAAGAUGUUGUUCCCACAGAAGAUGUUGUUCCCAUAAAAGUAGUCAUAACAUAACAAGUCUUAAAACUUUGUUUCUUGAUUUUAAUGUUAAAGUAACCAUUAUCAAUUUGCUCAUUAUAAAUGUGUUUUAAUCAAAUGAACGAUUCUUAUGCUUUGGGUAAUUAUAAUGGAUUAAUGAAGCCAUUCUUAAAUAAUGUUGAGGAUGUUUGUUGCUGACCUUCACACACACUCAAGCACACAAACAUUCACACACACCCACACACAUCUGCUCACAGUAAACUCCAAAACACAUUUGCUGACGCACACGUUUGCUUUUAGAGGAGAAAGGUUUUUGGUAAGUUUCAGUCUUAUGAUUUCAGUUCGUGCUUGACAACGAAAGAGAGAGGACGUGUGAACAACCGCUAACGGGGGCACGGAGCCCAUUGGCUCAAUCCCCCCCCCCCUCUCUCACGCUGUUUCUGCCAAGCCAGGCAGAAUAGCUGAAUCGCGACUUCUAACGCAGACUCAUUACCGAGUCUUUUGAUUUCUGAGUGAAUUAACUUAAGAAAGCGCAUCGACAAAACGCUCUACCAUCCACGUGUACCGAGGGCAACUCUGGACCGGUUCCGUUCGACACCUACGUCUCCUGUCAGCCGCCGGUGUCAUCUGGAUGAACCACAACAUCCUCCACGGCCCGGAUCCGAAAGAGGGUCCACAAGAGUUCGGUGAGACAGAGCACGGUUUUUAGCGUUUGAUGCAGUUCUCUGAUAAGACCUAAGUUUAUCCAAACCAUCACUUCACUCAGACACCUGUUUCUUCCUGAAGCAAAAUCAGACUCACACACGCAUUCAUGUCACGACAUUCUCAAUCUUCAUAAAUUCACCAGAAGGUCUAUUUGAGCAAGAACAGCAUAUCAACUGUUAAAGAUUGUCCCACAAAGUUGCCAAUGUUGAUUGUUAUUUCCUGUUUGUCAAUUUUCAAAAUCAUUAGUUUAAUUUGAAGAAUUAAAACUUUUAAUUGUCAAACUGGUUUCCUCAUUGAACUGAAACACAGACACACAGAUAUUAUCGUCAGUUUAUCGAUGAAAACAACCUUUGAGUCUUCUUAACAAUAUAAAAUUUGGUUAUUGAUUUAUUAAAAAUUAAUAUUCCGAAUUAAUACGUAGCAUGGUUCCUCUUUCAUAAAAGAGCAUAAAACCACAACGCUACAUUAAUGGUGAGCCAAG